rnacentral:rRNA from 1 species
ACGCUCGACACCUACGGGAAGGCAGCAGUGGGGAAUAUUGCACAAUGGGGGAAACCCUGAUGCAGCGACGCCGCGUGAAGGAAGAAGUAUUUCGGUAUGUAAACUUCUAUCAGCAGGGAAGAAAAUGACGGUACCUGACUAAGAAGCCCCGGCUAACUACGUGCCUGCAGCCGCGGUAAUCUGAGCGGGCUGGCAAGGC